CCUACGGGAGGCAGCAGUGGGGAAUCUUAGACAAUGGGCGCAAGCCUGAUCUAGCCAUGCCGCGUGAGCGAUGAAGGCCUUAGGUUGUAAAGCUCUUUUCGUGGGGAAGAUAAUGACUGUACCCCAAGAAGAAGCCCCGGCUAACUCCGUG
rnacentral:rRNA from 1 species